UCUUCCGCAAUGGACGAAAGUCUGACGGAGCAACGCCGCGCGAGUGAUGAAGGCUUUCGGGUCGUAAAACUCUCUUGUUAGGGAAGAACAAGUGCUAGUUGAAUAAGCUGGCACCUUGACGGUACCUAACCAGAAAGCCACGCCUACCUACGUGCCAGCAGCCGCGGUAAUACGGAGGGGGCAAGCGUCAUCCGGAAUUAUUGGGCGUAAAGCGCGCGCAGGUGGUUUCUUAAGUCUGAUGUGAAAGCCCACGGCUCAACCGUGGAGGGUCAUUGGAAACUGGGAGACUUGAGUGCAGAAGAGGAAAGUGGAAUUCCAUGUGUAGCGGUGAAAUGCGUAGAGAUAUGGAGGAACACCAGUGGCGAAGGCGACUUUCUGGUCUGUGACUGACACUGAGGCGCGAAAGCGUGGGGAGCAAACAGG
rnacentral:rRNA from 1 species